AGGCCAAUUGGCCCAAACCAAAAUUCACAAACCUAAUAACAUUCUCACUUUAUAUGGUUCCCUACCCUGCCGCCAACCCCAUCCCUCCUUUUCCAUUUCCUUCUUCAACAAUGCUGAAGAGAGCAAACCAGCGGAAUCACUAGCUAGAUAGCCCAAUGGCUUCUUUUUUUUCCAGGUAUUGAGUGGGACUUUGAAGAUUAAAAUGUAAUAUUGGGAGGAGCCACAGUUCGUCGAAAAGACAUUACAAAAAUGAGGGUGCAUUUCAAUCUAUUCAAUGCAAGAAGAUUAAGGAUUCAACCUUGAUGCAAAGAGUGAAAGUACUUCAUCCUUGACACCAGAAGAUCAUCUGGUGGCGACAUCUGAAAUUUCCGGAUCAAAUACUUAAAACUUAGUUUUCUUUUGACGUGGAACCUUUCAUAAUUUUAUAAAUUUAUAGAUUAAUGGUUGCAUAAUUUUGUAUUUAUA